GACGAACGCUGGCGGCGUGCUUAACACAUGCAAGUCGAACGGAAAGGCCCUGCUUUUGUGGGGUGCUUGAGUGGCGAACGGGUGAGUAACACGUGAGUAACCUGCCCUUGACUUUGGGAUAACUUCAGGAAACUGGGGCUAAUACCGGAUAGGAGCUCCUGCUGCAUGGUGGGGGUUGGAAAGUUUCGGCGGUUGGGGAUGGACUCGCGGCUUAUCAGCUUGUUGGUGGGGUAGUGGCUUACCAAGGCUUUGACGGGUAGCCGGCCUGGGAGGGUGACCGGCCACAUUGGGACUGAGAUACGGCCCAGACUCAUAUGGGAGGCAGCAGUGGGGAAUAUUGCACAAUGGGCGGAAGCCGGAUGCAGCAACGCCGCGUGCGGGAUGACGGCCUUCGGGUUGUAAACCGCUUUCGCCUGUGACGAAGCGUGAGUGACGGUAAUGGGGAAAGAAGCACCGGCUAACUACGU
rnacentral:rRNA from 1 species